AGUGGGGCGAUUACUAGCGCCCAGACCCGCAGGACAGCCUCCUCCCGGGGCUCCCGCCCUGCCCAGAGCCGCCGCUGCGCAGAGACACACGAGAUGGCGUUAAGGUCCCGGCGUCCCUUGCCCGAUCAGUCAGGCUAAUCUGCCUGCCCCUCGAUAAGGGGUGGGAUCGGGUUUCAGGGAGAUUUUCCCGGGAUUACUCGCAGUAGCCGCUCAGUCUAGACAGCCCUCUCGGUUACAGGGGCACAGACAAAGGCGAGAACGGGAGUGCCCGGCCACGAGGCGGCAGGUCUCGUGGGACACCUCCUCGGCCCCCCUCCACCCCCCGCCCGAGGCGGGCAGGGGAGCCGCCGGCCUGUGGGCUCUGGUCAGCGCAGGCGGGGCCUGACCCUGGAGUGUCCCGGGCUGCGCGCCAGGGAGUCACCCCGGCUAGGUGUGGCAGGGAGUGUGGCACGUGCUUUGUGCUCAGCUCCUGCAGUGCUUGCGUGAGCCAGUCGAGUUUGCUGUGCCCAUUUUACAGAUGAGCACAGUUGGGCAUGGGGAGGGGAAGCCCCACCGCUGGAAAGUGGGGUCCUAGGACUUGAAUAGAGGCCUGUCCUUGGCGCUAGCCUGGGAGCCUAGGGGAGCGAUUGGCCGGUGACAGCAGGGCCGCCCCAGCACCGAGGGGACAGGCACAGGCGGGGGGUGGGGGGCGUGCUGACCCCUCAUCUCAGGAAUCAGGGCACGGGGAGUAUAAAAAGGUUUCUUGUGUGCUGCUCUUCGGCACACCCUUCCUGCCACAAGGUGCCAGUGGGUGGCUGGGGUGUGUCGUGGUGCGUGGCCUGUCUACACUCUCCUGUCUGGGUUCCCAGCCUGGUUUGGCUACUUCCUUGCUCUGUGCCCUGGACAAGUCACCUGUGGACAUCGGUGUGUAAAAUGGGACAUCGUCUGUAAAAUGGGAGUGAUGUUUGCCCUGUCCGGCAGUAGCACUGUGUGAGUCGCUGGGGAGGAACACGCGUGAAUUACGUGGCUUGGAGACCGUGGCGUGCUGUGCCCGUGCUGGUCACCAGUUCCUAGCACGCCUGCUGCCGGAGGUAGCCACGAAGGAAUGACUGCAAUGGCCCCCUGCAAAAACAGAAUCAGGGACUCUGGGCUGCCCCCUCUGCACUCCCCCAGCCCGCCCGGCCCAGGAGUGUGGGGAGCAGCACGGCGGCCAGCUGCUCUCGGUGGCCGUCGCCCCAAGGCCACACGCCCCAGGGAGCUGCAUGCCGCCGUGGGCCCUCUCUCCAGCGCUUCUGAUAGUGGGUGGGAGACACGUCCCGGCCCCCAGUGGCAUCCUGGGGACAGGUGGGGGUGGCCCUUCCCCGUGUGUCCCCCUGGGCUGUCGCCGUGGCUGGCUGGGACGCAGGGCCCGCGCUUCUCAGCCUUUGGAACCGAGCCUGGGGAAGAGCCCCGAGACAGCCUCUGGGGCUGCCACGUGCACUCUGGCGUGCGUCUGUGCACGCGCGGGAUGAGACAGAGACAGACAGACAGACCCGGCUCCUGGUCCUCUGACUCGUCCAUCUCGGGUCUGGAACGGGCUGUUGCGACGCCGCGUUGCUCUCGUUCUCUGCUCUUCCUCUGUGAAAGACAGCUCGAGAGGGUGAGGCGACGCUGAUUUAUCUCACGGGUCAGCUUUUCCCAGAGCAGCAACCCCAGCCAUAAGAGCAAGACACGAGGACAGCAAAGCGGGCAGGUUCCGUGGGUCCCGGGGCGUUGCCUCCUGCACAGACGGCCCCGCCCCAGCCGUCUCUGCUCGGGCUCCGCGUCGGGCGGCACCCUUGUCCGUGAGCCUGUGAGGCGGCGGCUGCACGGAGCGGGCCUGGGUGGCCGAGACGGCUCUGCCUUCCCUCCCCUGCGUCACGCAGCUGUCCGGCCUCUGCGCUGUGGCCUUCAGGUCGGAGGGGGCGUAGCGAGGGCUGGGUGGGAGCAGGUGUCUACAUGGCAAGGGACGCAGGAGAGGCAAGAGGAGCUCGUGGAGGAGGUUUGAGUCCUAGUGACCCGAGUUCGAGGCCUGGGUCCAUCAUCUGCCUGCUGUGUGACCUGGGCAAGUCGGCCAACCUCUCUCAGCCUCUGCCUCCUCAUCUGUGGAAUGGGGAGAGUGACAGGACGUAAGGCUGAGGCCGUCGUGAGGACGUGUCUGAGACGGCGGGUCCUGUGCCGGGGAGGCUGGCGCGGGCGCCGUCGGCAGGGCCGGGAACCGCUGGCAAGGCGUCCGCCGUGGGCUCUGCAGGUGUGGGGCUCGCCCCGCGUGAUUGGCCUUGGGGGCCUCGACGCAUUUCCGUCUUUACAAAUGCAUUAACAAUGCUGCUGGGCUCAGAAGAGAAGCCAGCCCGACGUAAGCGUGGCCCGCUCUUUGGAGCGGAGAGUCCCAACCCCCGCCAGGCCGGGCUCGGCUGCCCCCAGCACGGCGAGCAGAGCCGCAACGAAAUGGGCACGCGCUCGCGGACGUGACUGUGCCGUCAGCAUCCGCGGAUCUGGUGGACCCUCAUCUUGUCCGCAUUUAGCCAGCGAACAAUGUCAGCGCCAGAGAGGAGGGAACCGUGCCCGUGGGUGGAAACGGCGACAUUCCUUGCAAAAAAGGAAACCGAAGAAGCAGCUUUGCCGCCUCCUCUCUGUAGCGCCUCGAGUCGAUUACUUGACAGCUCUGGGCCUCAGUUUUCUCAGUCUGUGCAAUGGGAUAAUUCUCGUUUAAUCUAUCCACUGGGCUGCACAGACGAUCACGUGAAAGUAUAUACCGAGAAGAUGUUAAGUAUGAAACGUUACGCUGCCGUGUAGAAUUGUUACUGACGGAGGAACUAGUGGCAUGUGGAUAAUCACCACUGGCAACAGUUGAAAAGCCUUCAGGUUCUGUGUGCCAGACUGAGAAGCUUGGCCAAUGCGCUCCCCAAAAAGCAAUGAUGAAACUGUCAGAAACCACCAUUUCAGGGCUCUACAAACUGAUCAGGAUCAUACAUUUUCUGAUGCCUAUACUCUCGCUGUCGAAGAGCACAAAGUACACCGUCUUGAUGGAAGAGGACAUCGUGGACACAAAGUAGCUGGAGAUGGCCUUCAGGAUCAGCUGAGCUGCCGUCUGCUUCGGAAAACCGUUCCUGCGGGAGAGAAGGCAAGCUCUGAGCGCGGGGCCACCACGGUGGUCACGGAACCUGCCCUGUCCCCGGGCAGCCCCCCUCGCAGGAAGCCCUGGAGGCUGUGUGCGCCGCAGUGGCCUCCUGCUGGGUCACAGCAUGCCCUGAGCCCUGCGGCUGCUGGUCCACCAGUGUGAGAAAGCCCAGUGCCCGGCGACGGGGGCCAGACACCAGGCAGAGAGCCUCGACCCUGUGUGUGCCUUCACACAAGAAGGCGUCCAGGAAGUUCUCUGAAGGACAACCAGCCAGCAGGCGGGACAGCGUCCUGCAGGGUGUGUUGGGCCCCCAAGUGCGGCACAGAGACCUGCGUUUCUCUUCCCAUCAUCCCUGCAGCCCGCACAGAGCGUGAGCCACAGCCCAGACUCUCUGUGCUCCAGCGCGAGUCACCCCGGGCCUAGCUGGAGGUUCCCUGGGAAGGCCCUGACCUCCGUCCCUCGAGCAGAAGGGUUGUGCCCUUCACACUGGCCUCUAGAGUCCACAGGUGCGGGGGCUGCUGCCUGGAAUCUACCCCCCAAUAUACACCAGCUCCCGUCCCACCCCACAGGCCAGGCUGUCGGGAGCCGUGGUGCUGGGGAGGAACUCUGGGCCGAGUGGGCUGUUCAACGAGGUGAUGUCACCAAGUCUCCAAGCCAGUUGUGUUUGGAUUCACACACGUUUCUGUCUAAAGCAAAUGCCACGCGGCAGUUUUUGGAAUUAGGUGCUCAGAAGUUAAGAGUCUGCAGUCACGCCUGGGAGGACUGGCGCUGCUCCCGGGCCACGCCGAGGGUGGCCGCCUGCCUGGCUGGUGGAAACAGCCUGGAAUCGAACCCCUACUGACCCCAUUUUACAGGAGUCGAGCAGCACAGAGGCUGGGUUAUCUGGAACGAGACACACGUUGGGAAGGACUGAGGUGGUAAACUCGACCUUCUGCUUUUGGGAGGCAUCUACCCAGCGCUGCAGGCUGCUUCCUACUGCGGACCGGGCUCCCAGGGCCUGCUGCAGCCUGCACAUGAACCAAAGGGACUCCAAGGGCUGCUAGAACGAGCAGAGCCCUGUCUGUAGACGUGACCUGGAUGCUUGGGGCGGAGAAAGGCUGUGAAGCCCCGCAAAGGAGGACACCUGUCUCAGGCUCACACCUGCACAGGAAGCCCCAGCCUGUGGAAGAAACCCUCCCCACCCCCGUGGGAUUGUGGCUCGUCCGGACCACGCAUGCGUCCAGGAGGGACCGAGGAAGACUCUGCCUCUCUGAAGUUGCCCGAGGCCCGUCGAUCAGAAGACCAGACCCCUGGGAUCCUCAGCCGAGGGCACCGGUAUACGAGAGGGCCCAGUCCAGACCCUGAACCUUCCAACGGCCUUCGACUCAGCCCCUGGUGAUGCGACGGACACGGUCUCAGCGGUGGCGCUGCUCUGCAUGGCGGCACAGAGGUCUCAGAGCGACCCAGAGACGCCGCAUGGUUUAAUUCACGCCCCACUACUCGGGUCCUGGCUCGGCCAGUAACCAACUAACUCCAGACCUGGUCCCCCAGCCAGAGUGCAACGCUGCUCCAACAGGCAGCUGCGUGCUGGCAUCUGGGGCACAAAACGAGGGGGGUUGCGGCCAAGUCCUACCUGCAUCGUCAGCUGUCAAAGGACUACACUCCUCCAGUGGUAGCCAUCAGUCUUAGGGGCAGCUGUGCUGCUCCUACAGCCCUGGGUGAGUCUACCUGGGGGUAUUUCAGGGACAGGAGGUGGGUAGGGCCCAGCCCUGCCCUGUUCAGUUCCGCCAGGCCCAUCACCACAUAGGGAGGCCCUGGAUAGAAAGGUGAGGGGUAGAGUGCUCUGAUCAAAAAAUUUUGUGGUUUGGGGACAGAACCAGAACAGAGUUGCAGGCUUAUUCUGGGAUGGCCGUGCUAUCAGUGUAUCUGCAUCCACACCUCGCCAUCCAAGGCUCAGUGCCCCUCAAAAAGCACUGAGGCCCCAGGCCAUCACACUGUGAUGACAUCAGAGGUUUUCUAUUGCCCUUGGGCCUCCCUCUCUCAUCGCUUUCAGCAUUGUUGAAUGUGCAUGUCCUUCCUUAUUCCAAGCUUCUGGUCGUCUUGGCAAAGGCAGACACAGGGCCUUGCAGAGCUCGGGCUCCGCAGCUGGGGGCCAGCAUGCCG